CCUUACAAGGAUCAAAUGAGAAGGUGAUUAGGAAGGUGCUUUGUCAGCUGACUGCACUGGCCUAUGAGAGAGUCCAAGCCUGCCGGCUGGGGCCAAACGCCACAAGGUCAACACCUCCUCAUUUAGUGCUGAGGCAGGCUCCCGGGAGGGCAGAGACUUUGCAUGGCUUUGUUUACUCCUGUAUCCCAGCAGCAGGAAUAGAGCCUGCCCCUGAAUAUGUACCGAAGGGUAAAUGAGAAAAGGGCUCAGAUCCAGCUUCGCCCAAAGCCACGGCCACUGUCUUUUCUUGCCUGGACACUGCAGCAGCCUCCUCCCUGACCCCUCAACCUCUUCCCUGACCCCAGCCUCCUCCUGACCCCCAGGUACCUCU